UUGCUGCCAAGUUAAAUGACAACCUGAUUUAUUGUUCUGUGAACCUACCUGCUGAAUCACACUUGUGGUUGAUCCACUUGUCCUCCAGUAUGAGAUGCGUCAGAUUAAGUACUUCUCACCAUAGCUACAGUAAUCGAUAGGUUCUCAGAACUCGAGGUCCUCUCAUAACCAAACCAUUGCUGUAGAUGCGUGGUCUGUGCGUUCCACAUCUGCCGAACUUAUUCAGGGGACCUGGUAGCUGCAUUGUUGGAACCUGGCCGGGUCCGUAUGACCUAAGCAACAUCAUCUGAGGUCAUCCAAGGCUACUGGAUAAACCCAUUGGCCGUUGAUUACAUUUAAAAACAUGUUGCAGAUGUUUGUGUUCUGGGAAGCUAUUUUAGUGCAAUUAUGGUGGAACAGUAAAAGGUAGGACAGCUUUCUCAUUGUUCACAGGCAGAAGGGGAUUCCUGGUCCAGUUCACAGAGGACCAUUACGGGUCGCUGCCGGCCGUACAAAUUUUGCUCACUGGAAUUGCCAGAAAAUCUCAUGCACCCCAUCUGGGCUAGAACAUCGCUUCAGUCCCCAAACCUCUGAUCAAGGGCACCGCAGCCAUUCAAAUAGUAAUACGUGAGUAAUAAUAAGUGAGUUGGACGGUUGCUGCAGGUAAUUUUACAAGAGGUUGACACACUUUGAUGCCCAUAUUUUCGUGAUGUAUAAUAUCACUAUUUUUCAUAUGCAUGAAGAUCGUUUAAAAAACAUUUUCUGUUUAUGAACUACUGUACUGUGUAUAUUGCCUAAGUGGUUGUUUCCAUGUUAGUUAUUUCGUAAUGGCUGCUUUCUGGCUUUUCUGGGAAUAUGAUUAACGGUAAUGCAGGUCACAGGCGGGGCUGCUGUCACGCUGCAGCGCCGACAGCGUUUCCAGGUAAAAGGUGUGAUGGUUUCCUGUGGCUGAUUGGAGGGAGCUUCUUCCUCUCUAACAGGUAGCGGGAGGCUUUUCGCCAGGUUUCAUCAGUGUCCAUUUUUGGUAUUAAUGCAAGAAUAGUGAGGAACGGCAUGUGUGUUCACAUGUCGUCCUGCAGACGCAAGUGUUGGUCCUAUGCUGUGGUCUUACUUCUGCUGAUCUGGUCCUGGUUGUAAGACUGAAUAAACAUUGACUGGAAUUCCUUCUAUUCUGUAAAAAGUUACUAAUAUCUUGUUGGAAGGCUAGAACACCGCUUCAGUUCUCAAACCUCUUCCAGCUCAAUUAAUUCAUUAGCUUAAUUAGUUAACUCA